rnacentral:rRNA from 1 species
UACGUAGGGGGCUAGCGUUAUCCGGAAUUAUUGGGCGUAAAGAGCGCGCAGGUGGUUGAUUAAGUCUGAUGUGAAAGCCCACGGCUUAACCGUGGAGGGUCAUUGGAAACUGGUCGACUUGAGUGCAGAAGAGGGAAGUGGAAUUCCAUGUGUAGCGGUGAAAUGCGUAGAGAUAUGGAGGAACACCAGUGGCGAAGGCGGCUUCCUGGUCUGUAACUGACACUGAGGCGCGAAAGCGUGGGGAUCAAACAGGAUUAGAUA